UUAAACUAUUAGCGUUUCAAACAAAGACUGUUUCCUGUUGAUACACAUAAUAGUCAACCUGAUUGAACCCAUAGAUGCAUUGUAAUACAAUUCACUCACACACGCAGGAGAAACAUCUUUCCUGAUUUUAUAUUUGUGUGUUAGCACAUUCCUCCUACCCUGUCGUGCUUGCAUUACAUCUCUGAUUUUACGUACAUACAGUAUUUUAACCUGUAGCCUACAGUAUAAUAAUAUUGUUUUUUGCCUGAAAGGGGGGGAUCCUUUCUCUUCAUGAAGGUCUCCUUCUGUUCCAGCAGUGUGAUGUGGUAGCUAGUUUUCCUCAUGAAUUAAAACAUUUAGAGAUAUCUUUACAAUGAAACUGUAUUUAUGUUAAAUCCUCCUUUUUACUCCUGUUGCAUGUUGCUUUAGUCCAGCAAUGAUUUCUAAAUGUCUUUUACAUCAUCUCCCUUUAUUUUCUCUCUCCUUCCCCGUCUGUUACAGGGAAACCGUGUCACUCUAAACACAUUUGAGUCCUAACUGGUCCUGCAUCAUAGAUGCAUCACCACUGCUUCUCCUUCCCACAUGGUUUGGUGUGGACAAUUGUUUACUGAACAUUCUACCUGCAUCUUUGGUUGUAGUUACCCUUUUACAUUUUUUUUCCAUAAUUGCAUGUAUGUAUAAUUGAUCUGACACAUCUCUUCAAACCGAGGUUCAUGCUCUUGAAAACUGACUCAAUUUGCUAAAUUCUACCAUAGGAUUGGGAUGUUUCCAUCAAAACUACAUACACUUACAUUGACUUGUUAUGUUCAGGUAUAGUCACACGCUUGCACCAAAACUUGAGGGUGUUUAUCAGAGAGUGGUAUUAUCCCUGAUAAAAUGAGUCUAUGAUUUUCCACUGUAUAGAUGAAACAUCUUUGCAAUAUUAUUCAGUAGUAAUAUUUCACACUGCGAUUUGCUAGAAUUUUUACCCAACUACACAAUUACACAGUAGUUUUAUGAACUACUAGACAGUCGUAUAAAUUAACUACUUGUGUGAAAUCACUGUACUGUACAUGUAUGCAAUGUUUUCUGUAUGACACAAUUUCAUAGACUGAAGUGCAGAUAAAAAACUUUUUAAAGCAUUUUAAGCAGUCAGUGAUGUACAGUAUAUUUCUAAAUGAAUAUGUGAACAGAAUAUUUUUCAUGUUCUAAUUAUGGUUCUGUCUUUGUGUUCCAAUUUUGAGCGCAAUAAGAAAAAUAUUUAGGUGUCAUGUUUGUGUGUGUGUGUGUGUGUGUGUGUGUGUGUGUGUGUGUGUACAUGCAUGCUCUGAGAGUUUAGGUUCAGUGUCCAUGGGUGGGUAGCAGUGUAUCUCCACCCUGCCUCCCGUCCGUGUGUCCUUCCGCUGAGUUGUGAUGAGUCAGCGGAGGUGUGAGGUGUGACUCAGCAUCGGCGCUCCUCCCAUACCCAGGUGAGGGUCCCUGUGACGUCAGGUGAACAGUCACAGCAUGCUGACCAAUAUGGGAGAUAUACAAGACUGACCAAGACAGACUAUCUAUUUUCAGAUCUGUCCUUCCAUCCAGAAAGACAAAAAAGAACCUGGAUCACUCAAGUUAAAUUGAGGUUUGGUGAAAGCAUUUGAAUUUUCUUGGUGAAAUGUUGACGGGGAAGUGUGUAGCAGCUAAUAUCUGUCUCUGGUAAAUGAUGACUGGUGUUUCUUGUACAUGUACUCCUGGAAUUGUACUGUAACGUCAGUUGCCUGAGCAUUUAUUACUAGAUUUUUUAAAUGUGAAAAUCGUGUUCAUAUUGAUGGUCGGUCAGAAUGUUAGGCAGAUGUUGGCAAUAUAAAGGUCGGACUAAGUCCUUGUGGAAGACAUAGAAGAAAUGACACGGGAGGGCUCGAGGUGAUUUCUUCUUACUUCUCGCUUUCGUGUCCAAACAAUAACUUUGUAACUUUGCAUUGGUCAGUUUUCUCACGCCUGUGGAAGCGUUAAUGGUGGAUGAAAACUUAUAUGAAAUUGUUGAAAUAACUCUGGACGUUAUGGACGUCACUGCAAAACGAAAGGAAGGCCAUUAACAGUCCAUUCACUCUGUAUAAGUCUUGCCUUUGAGGGAAAUCAGCAUUCACUAUGAACGUUUGCUUCAUAGAACUUAGAUAGAGAGACGCAUAUCCAGGAGUAAAACAGCAUCACGAGCAAUGUUUUUACAAGGAAACAAACACAUUUAAAUAUAAAUAGACAUAGACAUGCUUUCAGAAGCCGAACACUAUCAGAGCACAGCAAUUCAGCACCACUAAGCAGCGGACAGCGACCAGUUUGCAAAGCUAUAUGUUAACAAUUUUCGCGCCCUCAGUUCCACAAACAGCACCUAUUAGAAUGAACAAGGUGCAUUUGAAAUAUACACUUCCCUGAAUUGUAUAGACUUCUGUGGUGACUUAAUAUACCCAGUGGUUGCUAUUAAAUCUCUCUACCGAAAUACAAACUAGGAAGCUGUUUGUUACUCUUAAAGCUGGAAGUACCUAUACGGAAGUGCAAUACAUUGUGAAGAGCUUGAACUAUUUUUAAAUGUUUUCUAUGUGUUAAAUAGUAGCAGGCAUUACAAGAGGAAGUUGAAAUAUAACGUGCUGAAUCCAUGAAAGAAAAAGACAAUGAGUAAAUUGUGUUUCCAUCAAAUGCAUAAAUAGGUUUUGGCCUCGACAAAAGGUGGAUCCAGCAAGUGCGUGCAGUUUGUUGAGUGUAGCAUAAUUUCUGUCGAUUGAGCAUAGCUAAUGAUAAAACCAUCAUAAUUCAGAGUGUAGAAUUGACUGUAAUAUAAUACAUGCAUUUGUUUGAUUUGUGUUUAACUUUAAUAAACUUUA
ensembl:lncRNA